UUCUAGGGGCAACCUCCCCCCUCUCCCCCACCCCAAAUGCAGUGACAACGCAUAGGUUAGCAGGUGCCAGGGCUCCUGGGGACAGGCAGUUAAGGACAGAUUCAGGCUGAAGGGAUAAUGGGGGUGCUAGGUCUUUUGACACAGACCUCCCCCAGGAGUACACUGUACACUUUCGCCUUCUCUUUUCUGCUUUUCUUUUUCUACUUAAAAUAUCUUGGAGGAUAUUCCUUAUUGGCACACACAAAGCCACCACCUUCUUUGUUAUGGUUGCCCUGUAUUCAGUUAUCCACAACUGUUUCUAUUUUCUGAACCAGUUCUCUGUUCCUGAGCAUGGAAGUUUCUGCUUCUAGGUUCUAUUACAAGCAACACCACAAAACAACACCAGCAAACCCCAAACUUGUCCCUGCUCUUGUGCUGAUGGCUACUUCCACCUCUGUAGGGUGAAUUCCUAGAAGUAGGAUGGCUGAGAUGAAGCAGCAGUCCUCGCCCCUUCAUGGCAGCAAUGCCUCUUCCCUCUCUAGGCCCUUGGGUAAGUCAUUUCCUUCCCUGUAGUACCCUGUCCUCCUUCUGGUGUCUGAUGAAGUCCUGUUCAUCCUUAAGAACAUAGUACAUCCUUUCUGGCACCUGCCAGCCAUCCCAGUCACAUUCAGCCUUGCCCCCAGCCCCGUAACCUGAGCUCCAAUGGGCUUUUUACCUGAGUUUUGGAAUUGUCUAUGGAUUUUCCUGUCCGUCCACCGGAUGUGAGGCUCGGAGAGCAGGGGGCAUUCUUUGCUCGUCUCCCGAUGUCCCAAGCACAGUGCUCUAUAUGCAGUUGAUGUUCAAUAAGCUCCAGAAAGAACUGGACCAAAUGAUGCUAAAUGGGGCCCAUCUUUGCUUCUUGAACUUUUGGAGAGGUUUUCCAGACGGAGCUCCCAGGCAAGGCUGAGAGACCUUUUCCCCUCCGCCCCCCCUCCUCCCCAGCACAGGCAAGCCAAGUCCCACGGCUUGCCAACUUUCAAACUACAUUAUCCCUACCCUAGAACUCAGGCAAUAUCAUCAGACAAGGCAGAUGUUUCCCAUCAGUCUGGAAAGUUUCUAUUUUCAUUUUCCACAUCACCAUCAUGCUAUCAAUCUCUUCUCCAGCCUGCUUUCUCCCCCUGCCUCCCUGCCCCCACCCCCAACAUACCAACCACUGGUCCUGCUAGGGAUCAAUUCCUAUGUUGCAGAUACAAAGGUAGUUUUGCUUGACAAAUGAAGCUGCCCUUCCAGGAGGUAAUAAAGAGAUCGAUACUGGUUACACUGGAAAUCUCAGGAACAAGGGGGCCAGUGACACCUUUGCCACUUCCACUAGCAGGACCACCCUGUGCAACCUUCCCCAGCCCGUGUCGCCCUGCCUCCCUCCUGCCACAGCUCUGCACCUGAGGCGGCUGGAGUGCCCAGGACCAGGCCAGCCGGCUUCUCUUCGCAGAGAAGUCAUUGGUCACCGUCAAGAGGAAAGAAAUUAGGAAGAAACGACCGUCGAGCUGCCUGCAGAUGUACGUAUACACGUACACGUAUCUGCACUUCUUCCCUUCAUGCUUCCGGCCGGCAGUUCUGCACUCACAUGGAUGCUUAUUCAGCAGAUGUGUGUCUGCCCAGAGAUUGUAAGCUCUUUGAGGACAGGGCUGUGUGUCUGUUCACUUUGCAACCCUCCCCAUCUAGCUCAGUGCCCAGCAUAGAGGCCCUGGCGAGGGAAUUAACAGCUGAAAUGCCAACGAUGCCAAUGCCCCGCAUGUGGGCAGAGGGCUUGACACGUCUGGUUCUCAGCUCCGCGCUCAGUGGAAUCACCUGGAUGCCUUCAUGCUGAUUGAUUGGUCUCAGGUACGGGUGCAGCGCGGGCAUCCGGGGUUUUAAAAGCUCCCUAAGUGAUUCUAAUGUGA